GUCAAGCUUGACAAAAUUUUCGAUGCUUGACUUGCGACGCCAAUUUACAAAUACAAAAUACAACAAAAUAAUGAAAAGACAACUUGCCGAUGCCGAAAUUUACAUAAAUAUGUUUUAAUGAACUAAUUUUGCAAGCCAAAUCGAAAGACGCUAAGAUGAAAAAGAAUCAAGAAGAAAAAAGAAACAGAAUUUGAGGCAGGUGCCAAGAAAAAACGAAGAGAAAACAACAAUAAAAAUAAAGAAGUCAAAGGGGAAGUCACGAAAAUAUCAAUGAAUUGGGGUUGAUAAACGCCAUAAAUAAUGAUACAUAAUGACUCCCAAUGGAAUCAAGGCGAGAAAGCGGAGAAUGGAGACAGCAACAGCAUAAAGAUACAGGGUAUCUACUAAGCCAAUCAGUCUCCCAAGUCUUGCAGCUUAACGAGAUUGAAGGCAACAUUUCCAAUGGAUUUUUUAUGUGCAAUCCAUUAAACAAUAAAGAGAAAAUCAAAGGCAGCAGAGCAGACAGUAGACAACGAUGCCAACAGUUUCAGAGUCUCGGGGCGAACAUUCGACCAACAAAAUCCGAUAUCAUUGAUGAUGGCGGAAAACCAGUUUUGUUUUUAAGCUGCACACAAGAUAUGUAAAGAAAAAAGCUAAAAAUCCGAUUUGGCCCAGGCACCAGGCAAGAAAAUUUCUUGGAAGCUGAAAUCAGCGUGCAGCUUUGCCACUAAAGAGCUUGCCAACAACAACACAACGAUGACGACGACGUCGGGCACAUUUAAAGAUCUCAACGGCUGUGUUGGCGGCGUUGCCUGGCACCAAAAAACUGGUCACCAAUAGGCUGGCGGAGAGAUGACGAAGCGGGUGGCGGUGGCGCUCUUGCUGUUGCUGAAGCUGUGACUGUAGCUCUGCGGCUGCGACUGCGGCUGCUGCUGUAGCCAAUGCUGGUGGUUGGCAAAUGUUGCAAGCCAGAGCAGCAGACAAUCUAUAACUAUACUCGUAUACACAAGGGUUCCAUAUAAGUACAUGCACAACAGACGUACAAAGGUAGCUACACUGACUUCUUGUUAUUGUUCGAAAAGAAAAAUCAUUCAAUAGCUGAGUAAUCAUAAAGCUUAACUCUAUACGAAGUAUAUACAUAUAAUAAUAAUUGAAACCUCG